AUGUACUGUUAUAGAUAUCACCACCCAGUCAGAUGGUAUAGAUAUCACCAUCAACCCAGUCAGAUGUACUGGUAUAGAUAUCACCAUCAACCCAGUCAGAUGUACUGGUAUAGAUAUCACCACCCAGUCAGAUGGUAUAGAUAUCACCACCCAGUCAGAUGUACUGGUAUAGAUAUCACCACCCAGUCAGAUGGUAUAGAUAUCACCAUCAAUCCAGUCAGAUGUACUGGUAUAGAUAUCACCACCCAGUCAGAUGGUAUAGAUAUCACCACCCAGUCAGAUGGUAUAGAUAUCACCACCCAGUCAGAUGGUAUAGAUAUCACCACCCAGUCAGAUGUACUGGUAUAGAUAUCACCACCCAGUCAGAUGCACUGGUAUAGAUAUCACCACUCAGUCAGAUGUACUGGUAUAGAUAUCACCACCCAGUCAGAUGGUAUAGAUAUCACCAUCAACCCAGUCAGAUGUACUGGUAUAGAUAUCACCACCCAGUCAGAUGGUAUAGAUAUCACCACCCAGUCAGAUGGUAUAGAUAUCACCAUCAACCCAGUCAGAUGUACUGGUAUAGAUAUCACCACCCAGUCAGAUGGUAUAGAUACCACCACCCAGUCAG
rnacentral:lncRNA from 1 species